rnacentral:rRNA from 1 species
CCUACGGGAGGCAGCAGUUGGGAAUCUUGCACAAUGGAGGAAACUCUGAUGCAGCGAUGCCGCGUGAGUGAAGAAGGCCUUUGGGUUGUAAAGCUCUUUUGUAGGGGAAGAUAAUGACUGUACCCUAAGAAUAAGGUCCGGCUAACUUCGUGCCAGCAGCCGCGGUAAUACGAAGGGACCUAGCGUAGUUCGGAAUUACUGGGCGUAAAGCGCGCGUAGGCCGUUGAGUUAGUUAAUUGUGAAAUCCCAAAGCUUAACUUUGGAACUGCAAUUAAAACUGCUCGACUAGAGUUUGAUAGAGGAAAGCGGAAUACAUAGUGUAGAGGUGAAAUUCGUAGAUAUUAUGUAGAACACCAGUUGCGAAGGCGGCUUUCUGGAUCAACACUGACGCUGAGGCGCGAAAGUAUGGGUAGCAAAGAGGAUUAGAUACCCUCGUAGUCCAUACCAUAAACGAUGAUUGCUAGAUGUUGGAAAUUUAUUUCAGUAUCGCAGCUAACGCAUUAAGCAAUCCGCCUGGGGAUACGACCGCAAGGUUAAAACUCAAAUGAAUUGACGGCUGAGACGNGCGAGACGACACGAGGAGAG